rnacentral:rRNA from 1 species
GACGAACGCUGGCGGCGUGCUUAACACAUGCAAGUCGAACGGAAAGGCCUCUUUCGGGGGGUACUCGAGUGGCGAACGGGUGAGUAACACGUGAGUAACCUGCCCUUGACUUUGGGAUAACUUCAGGAAACUGGGGCUAAUACCGGAUAGGAGCUCCUGCUGCAUGGUGGGGGUUGGAAAGUUUCGGCGGUUGGGGAUGGACUCGCGGCUUAUCAGCUUGUUGGUGGGGUAGUGGCUUACCAAGGCUUUGACGGGUAGCCGGCCUGAGAGGGUGACCGGCCACAUUGGGACUGAGAGACGGCCCAGACUCCUACGGGAGGCAGCAGUGGGGAAUAUUGCACAAUGGGUGGAAGCCUGAUGCAGCAACGCCGUGUGCGGGAGGACGGCCUUCGGGUUGGAAACCGCUUUCGCUCAUGACGAAGCUUUGUGUGACGGUAGUGGGUAAAGAAGCACCGGCUAACUACGUG